GAGCCGCGAACGGGUGAGUAACACGUGGGUUACCUGCCUCGAUGACCGGGACAACCCGAGGAAACUCGGGCUAAUACCGGAUGUGCCCGCAAGGGGAAAGGAAGCUUCGGCCUCCGCAUCGAGAUGGGCCCGCGGCCCAUUAGCUUGUUGGUGAGGUAACGGCUCACCAAGGCUUUGAUGGGUAGCUGGUCUGAGAGGACGAUCAGCCACACUGGGACUGAGACACGGCCCAGACUCCUACGGGAGGCAGCAGUGGGGAAUCUUGCGCAAUGCGCGAAAGCGUGACGCAGCAACGCCGCGUGGGGGAAGAAGGCUUUCGGGUUGUAAACCCCUUUCAGUUGGGACGAAGCCUCGUCGGUGAAUAGCCGCGCGGGGUGACGGUACCUUCACAAGAAGCACCGGCUAACUACGUGCCAGCAGCCGCGGUAAUACGUAGGGUGCAAGCGUUGUCCGGAAUUAUUGGGCGUAAAGAGCGUGUAGGCGGCCCGAUUAGUCCGCUGUGAAAGUCCAGGGCUCAACCCUGGAAUGCCGGUGGAUACUGUCGGGCUAGAGUCCGGAAGGGGCGAGUGGAAUUCCUGGUGUAGCGGUGAAAUGCGCAGAUAUCAGGAGGAACACCAAUGGCGAAGGCAGCUCGCUGGGACGUGAC
rnacentral:rRNA from 1 species